UCCGGCGAAUGCCGGCAGUCUCUUGAGACAUAUAUAACUCAAGAUGAGGGUUUCGCUCGUUUACCCACUUAAGGGCACAGCUCACGCCACGAGCUGACGACAACCGUGCAACACCUGUCAUAUCGUUCCCGAAGGCACGGCUCUAUUUCUAGAGCUUUCGAUAGAUGUCAAGGCCUGGUAAGGUUCUCCGCUUAUCGUCGAAUUAAACCACAUGCUCCACCGCUUGUGCGAUCCCCCGUCAAUUCCUUUGUGUUUUAGUCUUGCGACCGUACUUCACAGGCGGCACACUUAACGCGUUAGCUUCGCUACAAGAAGGGUCGAUGCUUCUGAUAGCUAGUGUGCAUCGUUUACGGCGUGGACUAC
rnacentral:misc_RNA from 1 species